rnacentral:rRNA from 1 species
GUAAACGGACAGAGCCCGUGAAUCCGGGCGGCAGAAUUUCAGAAUCGAUGGCCGGCAACGGUCGUCGGUUUAAUAUUUUUGUCGCCGUACGAACUCGGACGUCGCGACCCGCUUGGUGUCGGUCUUAGGAGUCGUGUUUAAGUUCGCUCCCGCGUCGUCCUUGCGGCGGCGCGGUUGCGAGUACGCGAAUUUUUCCGGCUGACUCGCCAGGCGGUACGCCGUCGGUGGCCUUUGUCACUCCGCGUGGCAAACGGUACCGGUCUGCGACGAAUUUUC